UACCAGCACCCCGAGUGGUCGGGACGAUUAUUGGGCCUAAAGCAUCCGUAGCCGGUCCUGCAAGUCUUCCGUUAAAUCCACCUGCUUAACAGAUGGGCUGCGGAAGAUACUAUAGAGCUAGGAGGCGGGAGAGGCAAGCGGUACUCGAUGGGUAGGGGUAAAAUCCGUUGAUCCAUUGAAGACCACCAGUGGCGAAGGCGGCUUGCCAGAACGCGCUCGACGGUGAGGGAUGAAAGCUGGGGGGAGCAAACCGG
rnacentral:rRNA from 1 species